ensembl:lncRNA
CUGCUACAGAGGCAUGAUGUGAUCCACCGGCAAGGAGGGACGCCAAUAAGGCAUCCGAUAAGAUAAGUCAUAUAAAAUAUAUAGGUUUAUGAUAGUUAAGACUGAGCUAACAGAUGAGAAUCCUAGUCAUUGGCCAAUCAGCUUUGAACCUAAUACAAGUCUCUGUGUAUUCAUUUGGGCCUAACUCGGGCAGGCAGCUGGCAUAAAGCUCACACGUGGCGGUGGGGUUCAAGCAGCUUUUGGCAGAAAGAUUUAUUGUAACAUUGUCCUAAUCUUAUUUUUAAGCUUUAUUUUUAAUUUGUAUGUGUAUUGUGGGAACAAGAGUUCCAGUGCCCACGGAGGUCAGAAUAGGGAAUUGGAUCCCCUGGAUCCAGAGUUCUAUGUGCUUAUGAGCCUCCCAACGUGGGUGCUGGGAACGAAAUCCAGGUCAUCCACAAGAACAGUACACAUGUGCUCUUAACCACGGAGCCGUCUUUCUAGCCCCAGCUCAAAACUUUUAUGUUUGAUUAUAUACCAUUAUGGUGAUGUGAGGAAAUGAGUAUCUCUAUAUCGUGUGUGUGUGUGUGUGUGUGUGUGUGUGUGUGUGUGUGUGUGUGUCUGUGUCUGUGUCUGUGUCUGUGUCUGUGCCUGUGUCUGUGUGUGUGUGAGAGAGAGAGUGUGAAAUGGAUGAAAAUGUUAUUGAACAGCUCUGAAAAAUAAUUUGGUACAACCUACUGACUCUAUAAUAAACAUGUCUUAAGGGCAAAGAAAUUCUAGUUCUGCAUAUUUUUAUUCUAAUGAAAGAUUGCCUUAAAAUGCAAUCUACUCAUAUAAUGAGUAAAGUAUGAACCAUGGGGCUGGUUACUGGCUUAGCCAGUAAAGGCACUUGCCACUAAGCCCAGUGAUUUGAGUUCGACCUCUGGGACCCAUAUGGUAGAAGGGAAAAAACAACUACCACAAGUUGUCCUCUGACCUCCACACAUGCACCACAACACACGCAUGCACACACAUGCAAAUCCAAAAUCAAUCAAUCAAUAAAUGAAUAAGAAAAAAUUGAAACAUGAACUUGAAUUUGGUUGGUAAUUUGGAUCAGUAGUUGAGUGUUUGCUUAGCAAGCAUGCAACUCUUGGUUAUGUCCUUGAUGCUAAAAAUAAUGUAUACAAAAAUAUGAGCUAAAUUUUCUUAUUUCAACAUGGAAAUAUAUCAGAAAUGUUUUUUGAGAAACUGCUUCCAGUCACCAUGGAGUACUGGGGACUCAUUUACCCUUCCACCUUAAUAACAAGAGAUUUAGAAAUCUGUCUAACACUAGAAACAAGGCAAAAUGUGGCUGCACCUACCCAGCACUUGAAAGACAGAGGUGGGAUUAUAAAUUUGGGGACUUUCCGGGCUACAUGUAAACCCGAGUUAUAUAGACAAACCCAUUGGUAAACAAAAACAAGCAAGCAAACAAGCAAAAAACCCUCCUAAUCUAAAUCACAGACACACUGAUCCAUUUGUACUGGAUGUAGUUUCCAGGGCACAAUUCAAAGAGGAAGAAGACAGAUCUGUGCACCUGAGUGAAGGAGAUGGAAACGGGCAAUCAGGAGAAGGGUGUCAGAGAGAGUUCAUGUCUCUCCAGGAAAAGUCACACAAUACAGCUGGUGACCAAACCAUGACCAAAGAUGAGUUGGGAACAGUUGACUGUCCCUGGCAAUGGGUGCUGAGACAUGUAACUGGGCUGAACUGUGUGAACUGUCUGUAUAGAGGAGGCAGUCUCACUGUGGGCUCCUUUCUUCGUGGUGUACCUCUUUGCUGUCGUGGUCAUUGCAAGCUCCUACGAUGAAUGUGACAAGACAUGCUAACAAGGCCAAGAUAACAAGGAGUGUCACAUCCUUGAGGAAUUCCUAGGUGAUGAUGUUCCUCUAAACAGUGUAGCAUGCCUCCUUGAUGAAAGAGGUCCAGUGCACAAUUAUGGUGUAUUCAUAAAUGGUUGAUGGGUUAAAGAACAUUGUGUACUUUCUGAAAGCAGCACAUAUAUGAGACAGAACUGUAGCAGGCUGUGGAGUCAGUUUUGUGACCUCUGCUGUAAGUGAAAAGGUGCUCAUCCGAGGCUUAGCUUUGGACUCAAAAAGAAGUUGCCCACAUAAAGGAACAGUUACAAUAAGAAAAGGCCGUGAAGAUGCUAUCUAGCUGUGGUGGUGUGAAUAAGAAUGGCCCCAUAGGCUCAUGUAUCUGAAUGCUUAGUCACCAGGCAGUGGCACUAUUUGAGAAGAAUUAGAGGCAUGGCCUUGUUGGAGGUGGGCUUUGAGAUUUCAGAAGCCCAUACCAGGCUCAGGCUCAGUCUCUCUGGAUGUAGCUCUCAACACCUUCUCCAGCACCUGCCUACCACACCUGUCACCAUGCUCCCCACCUGAGGAGAAUGGGCUAAGCCUCUGAAACUGGAAGCAAGACCCCAAUUAAAUGCUCUCUCUCUCUCUCUCUCUCUCUCUCUCUCUCUCUCUCUCUCUCUCUCUCUCGUGUGUGUGUGUGUGUGUGUGUGUGUGUGUGUGUGUGUCUCCUUUCUCUGUCUCUGUCCCUUCCUCCCUCCCUCCCCAACCCUCUCUCACUCAUUCACUCACUCACUCACUCACUCACUGUAUAGCCCUGGCUGUCAUGGAACUCACUCUGUGGACCAUGCCUAUAUUUUAAGCUGCCAGGCUUUUGUCUCAGGUCAGGAGGGUGAGGAAGAAGCUGGCCAUCUUUCAUGUUUACCAUCUUUAUUUCCUAGUCAUGGCCCCUUUCCCUGUCUACCUACAAGAGAAUUUGUUUAACACCUAGUCCUUCUCAGGGAUGUGUGUGUGUGUGUGUGUGUGUGUGUGUGUGUGUGUGUGUGUGUGUGUGUGUUUAUGCAGGAACAAUUGUCAAUGAGAAGAGAUUCUUUGAUUGUUGAGAUGCCAACAAGUAGCCUAGACACCUCCAGAAAUACAGCUUUCAUGAGUUCAUGAGACAUCACCCAUUCCAUGUAUAAUGGGCUCCUCUCUCAGACUCCUCCUGUGUGCCUCCUACUCCUUCUCAAAGUCAUAGUCUCUUAUUCUUUAAUUAUUAUUACAUGUAAAUGGAGUUCUUAAUUGGUCUAAAUAGUGGAAACUUUGAGUCAAACAUAGAGUAAAAUGUUGAGAGAUCAGAGAGAAGAAGGAGCAAGCCACAGCUCCUAGCAACACUAAUUAUAUCAGAGAGGAAGAUGGGAGUUAAAAAAAACUCGUUAUGGAGAUUGCCUUCAACAUGACAGGGAUAGCCAUUUUGGACAAGAAACUGCUCUUGCCUGGACUGCUUGAAAGCAUGUUGUCUAAACUGGACAAGCAAGUUACAAAGGAAAGUGACUGAUGAACUUCUAAGGGACAGGAUGGUCCUUCAAGGUUCCUGCUUCAUUAAAAAACCUGCCAGACAUGCUGGGCUUGUAGGCUGAAGACGAUGUCCUAAUGUUACAGAGGAAUUUUGGGUGACUGUCCAGCCCUCAUCCAGCAGCUGGUGGAAGUAGAAGCAGACACCCACAACUAAUCACUGAACUGAACUGAAAUCCAGAUGCAGAGAAGGACGAGUGAAGAGCAAAGGGGUCCAGACCAAGCUGGUGAAACCCACAGAAACAACUAAUCUGAACAUCGGGAAACUCUUGCUCCCAAGACUGAUAGCUGGGAUACCAGCAUGGGACUGAUCCAGACCCCAGGAACAUGGGUUUCUGUGAGGAAACCUCAGAAAUCUACAGGACCUCCUGUAGUAGUUCAGUACUUAUCCCUAGCAUAGGUGUGGACUUUGGGAGCCCAUUCCACAUAGAGGAAUACUCACUGAGCCAAGACACACGGGGGUGGGCCUAGGCCCUGUCCCAAAGGAUAUGAUAGACUCUGAUGACAACCUAUGGAAGGCCUCACCAUCCAGGGGGAACAGAAAGGAUAUGUGAUAGGUAGGGUUUUAG